rnacentral:rRNA from 1 species
UACGUAGGCAGCAAGCGUUGUUCGGAGUUACUGGGCGUAAAGGGUGCGUAGGCGGUUGUUUUAAGUUUGUGUGAAAUCUCCCGGCUCAACCGGGAGGGUGCGCCGAAUACUGAACGGCUAGAGUGCGGGAGAGGAGAGUGGAAUUCCUGGUGUAGCGGUGAAAUGCGUAGAUAUCAGGAGGAACACCGGUGGUGUAGACGGCUCUCUGGACCGUAACUGACGCUGAGGCACGAAAGCGUGGGUAGCAAACAGG